AUUGAACGCUGGCGGCAGGCCUAACACAUGCAAGUCGAACGAGUGGCGGACGGGUUAUUAAUGUCUGGGAAACUGCCUGAUGGCGGGUGAUAACUACUUGACCCGGUCGCUACUCCCACAUACCCUCGGCUUUUCCCAUAUGUGAUUAGCUAGUAGGUGGGGGAAAGGCCCACCUGGGCGACGAUCCCUAGCUGGUCUGAGAGGAGGAACGUCCACCCUGGAACUGAGACACGGUCCAGACGCCUACGGGAGGCAGCAGUGGGGAAUAUUGGACAAUGGGCGAAAGCCUGAUGCAGCCAUGCCGCGUGUAUGAAGAAGGCCUUCGGGUUGUAAAGUACUUUCAGCGGGGAGGCGUUACCCGCAGAAGAAGCACCGGCUAACUCCGUGCCAGCAGCCGCGGUAAUAC
rnacentral:rRNA from 1 species